rnacentral:tRNA from 2 species
UGGAGAGAUGUCCGAGUGGUCGAAGGAGCACGCCUGGAAAGCGUGUAUAGAGGCAACUUUAUCAGGGGUUCAAAUCCCCUUCUCUCCGCCAA